AGGGGUGUAGCUUAAUGGUAGAGCACUUGCCUGGCAUGUGUAAGGCCCUGGAUCCAAUCUCCAGUACUACUA
rnacentral:tRNA from 1 species